UCCAUUCUAUGCUUCCAAAGAAGUGGGCUGUAGCCCACGAAAGCUUAUGCUCUACUAAAUUUGUUCGUCUCUAAGGUGCCACAUGUACUCCUGUUCUUUUUGGAGUUAUUUUAGAAAUCUUUGGGGUAAAGGAGUUAUUUUAGAUAGCAGGUGAUCUGCAGCUGGGGGAUUUACUCAAGUAUUAUGGAGGAGCCAUAUCUGAUCCAAAGUAAAGGGAGAGGCAAGCUUCCCAUUGUAAGUGCCCAUGUCUGAGCAAAGCAGCAUGGAAACUGAGCACCUUGCAGGAAUAUGCUGCUCACUAAAGAGUAAGUUAAGAGUUAUUUAUUUCUCACUCCUGGCUGAAGCAAGCUAUCCUUUGCUUAUUGUUUUUUGUUCGCUUGUUUGUUUGACCCGGCUGAAGAAAGCCCCAGAACUAACUCUUCAUGCAUUAGGCCAAAGCACAACAAUGCUCUGUGCUUCAAAAAGUGGCAGGAUGCAAUAUUUCUCUUUAAACUUGUUCUCCCCUUUGCCUACACAGAGAACAAUGUCUUAAAUAAUUGGUAAACUUUUCUAAAAUAUAAACUAAGCUGCUACUGAUUCCAGGCUGUGCUGCCCUAGCUGCUGACUCAAGCCUAGAGGUGUGUGUUGGGAGAGCAUGGAGCCUGAAGUGGCAGAGCACUGCAGAAGAAAUUCUGGCCCAAUAUAAAGCUGAGAACGGUGCAGAGACAGAAUGUGACUUGACUGAGGAAUAUUGAGAUUCAGAUCCCAAUCACGCAACUUUUUCCAUGGACGCAGCGGUCUCCAGCUACACAGAGCUUCCAUAGGGUGUGGGAAUCUGCACACAGAACAAAUUCUGGGGAGCAACAGCCAGCCUAGGAAUCAUUUUGGUUCUAAAGUUACAUACACCCAAAAAUAAAGGUUUCUAAUAGAA